UCCACGUCUCCGCAGCGUAUAGGAAUAUG
rnacentral:sRNA from 1 species